rnacentral:rRNA from 1 species
UACAGAGAGUGCAAACGUUGUUCGGAAUUACUGGGCUUGAAGCGCACGUAGGCGGCGUUGUAAGUGUCGGGUGAAAUCCCACGGCUCACCCGUGGAACUGCCCGGCAUACUGCGAUGCUCGAGUGUGGUAGGGGAGAGCGGAACUCCUGGUGGAGCGGUGAAAUGCGUAGAUAUCAGGAGGAACACCGGUGGCGAAGGCGGCUCUCUGGUCCACAACUGACGCUGAGGUGCGAAAGCUAGGGGAGCAAACGGG